rnacentral:lncRNA from 1 species
UGAAAAUGAAUCUUCACAUAGAAGAAAUGGAUGGAGAGUUUAAAUUUGAUACUAAACCUUUUGUAUAAAAUAUUGUUAUAAAUGAUCUAUAUAUUCAGACUGAAAUAUAAAGCUUUUAAAAUUGUUAAUAAAUAACCAGUACACUAGAGAACCAGAUUACAUAUUCUGACAAUUCCUGAGUGGCUUGAGUGUUGUGUCUUUAAGCACCAUGUAUGAGAAUUAAGUUUGCAUAUCUGUUUAGUGCCAUGUAUAAACGUCUGUGACUGUUGGUAUAAGCUUCAUCUUUGAUGCUAUCACACAGGUCUUUGUAUUAUCAGAAAACUUUAUAAGAGGAUUAUUAUUUAUAUAAAAAUGUUAAUGCAAAAUUAAGAGAAAAUGAAAGAAAUCAGUUGAGGACAUGCAGGUGCCAAAAGGUAAUACUA